AGUGAACGCUGGCGGUAGGCCUAACACAUGCAAGUCGAACGGCAGCACAGGAGAGCUUGCUCUCUGGGUGGCGAGCGGCGGACGGGUGAGGAAUACAUCGGAAUCUACUCUGUCGUGGGGGAUAGCGUAGGGAAACUUACGCUAAUACCGCAUACGACCUACGGGUGAAAGCAGGGGAUCUUCGGACCUUGCGCGAUUGAAUGAGCCGAUGUCGGAUUAGCUAGUUGGCGGGGUAAAGGCCCACCAAGGCGACGAUCCGUAGCUGGUCUGAGAGGAUGAGCAGCCGCACUGGAACUGAGACACGGUCCAGACUCCUACGGGAGGCAGCAGUGGGGAAUAUUGGACAAUGGGCGCAAGCCUGAUCCAGCCAUACCGCGUGGGUGAAGAAGGCCUUCGGGUUGUAAAGCCCUUUUGUUGGGAAAGAAAUCCAGCUGGCUAAUACCCGGUUGGGAUGACGGUACCCAAAGAAUAAGCACCGGCUAACUUCGUGCCAGCCGCCGCAGUAA
rnacentral:rRNA from 1 species